AUGCUGUCCGUGCGGAGGCGGCAGGAGGAUGCUGGCGGCGCCGCCGGCAUGGCGGACCACGCCGAGCUGGAGGAGGGGGAGGCCUACGCCGACGACAUGCCCCCCUUCGACGACCCGGACGUCUCCCUCGCUUACAUUGAUGAAAAACUACAAAAUGUACUAGGCCAUUUUCAAAAGGACUUUGAAGGAGGCGUUUCUGCAGAGAAUCUAGGAUCAAAAUUUGGUGGAUAUGGCUCAUUUUUGCCAACCUACCAGCGUUCCCCCCUUCUGCCCCACACUAGAACUCCACCUAAGGUGGCAAAUGCUAGCUCAAGAUCUCCUUAUCACCAGUCUACUGAGGAUGUGUGUCAGAACCCUCCGGCUAUGGCCGUUCCAUCUGUUUCCCAGAAUAAUGGUUCUGUGGCUCCUUUUUCUGGUGAUUCAAUUAAAAAGGAAAGAUGCGAAAGCACAGCGUCUAAAAGGGGCUCUAGCACCCAUGAUCCUUCAAAUGGCCCAUCUAAGUCUAGCGACCAGAAUAGAUUUAAAGUACGGAUAAAAGUUGGUUCCGACAAUGUCUUGGCAAGAAAUAAUGCAGCUAUUUACAGUGGUUUGGGCCUUGACAUUUCUUCACCUUCAUCCGUGGAGGAAAGCCCUGAUGGCCACGGGGGCCUCUCACCCGAAUUUAGCAAUGUGCAACUUGAAUCUCCCCGGACCAUUCUUCAGAUCAUGACAUGCUUUUCAGUUCCUGGAGGGUACUUGUUAUCCCCUCUUCAUGGCAGUUUGUUGCAACUGACAAAGAAGGUUGUGCCUUCAUUGAAGAAAUGGGAAACAAGCUUGGAGAUAGAAAAUGCACAGGAAGCAUAUGGAGGGCAUGUGGUUAAGAAAAUGAAGUCUGAUGGUAAGAAAAAGAAACCCACAGAUAUGAAGAGGUCAAGUAAUAGAAACGAUGUCAGUGCAUUUAUGAAAAAUGAGAUCGAUGUAGAAACACUUGCUGGCCAGAAGAUUGCAUCAGAAGCUCUCAGCAUACCGUCUAGUCCCAGAGGCAUGGAUGCAAACAGCAAUUGUCAAUUUGAAGAAGAAGCAACAGGAAAAUCUUUGGAAAGAAACAAAGAUGAUCGAUUGAAAGAAUGGGCUGUAAACAGCAACAGCAAGACAAUCACAGCUGAAACUGCCAAAGAGGAGACUACCGACUGUUUAGCAAGUGGUGGUUUUGGCAGCUCAGAAUUGGAACUUUCAGCAGCAAAGAGGGAGCUGAAACCUGUGACAGAAAAGACAGCGUUGACUUUAGAAGAGAUGAAUACAACCAGUGACACAGAUUUUCUGUUGGAUAGGAAACAUGAAAGAAAAAUAAAGCCUGAGAGUAAAAUCAAUCCUUCUGUCAUUAACUUUGAAGAAAACGCAGUUAUAGAUGAAAAAGCUCCUGCUGUUUGCAGAAGCAUGGAGAAGGUUACUAGCAAAGAGGCUUCACUUUAUGAUACAAAUGUGAAAAGUAACACCAAGAGUGAGGCCAAAAGAAUUCACAGGGAACAAAAGAAGAAUGCUCCAACAUCUUCUGAUCUUCUGGAUGUUGACAAGGGUGCUCGUUCUUCUGCUGGAGUUAAAGAGAGGAAAAACGAUUCUCACUCCAAAUCUAGCCACUCCGGGAAGAAACCCAAAGCAAAACCACAUAGAGAUGUCAGGGACAGUUUGCCUGACGGAUCCCAUGGAUCCAAAGAGCAGGAUAUAUUGGAGAAUGGGGUUGGAUUGGGAGAGUUGCAGCCAAAGGAAAAAUAUUGGAUCAAAAGGGAUUCUGAUAUGCUUGGGGCAUCAAAGAGGGAGAUUUCAUCUAGUGCAAAGCAUGACAGACAUAUAGCUUCUGAGGAGCAGAAGAUGCAUGUACCUCCAUCUUCUGUAUCGACUGCAAAUGCAGCUCCUGCACUUCAAGCACCUGUCGUGAUAGAGGAACAUUGGGUACAAUGUGACAUAUGUCAGAAAUGGCGUCUCCUACCAUAUGAGUCGGAUCCUGAUACUCUUCCAAAGGAAUGGAAAUGUAGCAUGCAACUGUGGCUGCCUGGGAUGAAUAGGUGCGAUGUUGGUGAGGAGGAGACUACAAAUGCUCUGAAUGCACUAUAUGUCAUUCCACCCCCUGCCAACGGUAUUCCUUCAGUUGGUCAUCCUCAUGCUGCUUCUUCUGGACUGGCAACAGCCAACACGUUCAGUAUAAAUGGACAUGCUGAACAGAGUAGGAAAAGGAAGAGUUUUCCAGGUGAUGGAAGUGCUUUGGUUGACAGUUCUCACCCAACACAAGCUUCAGCUUAUUCAACGAUCACCCAACCCCCUCCUAGAGUUAGAAGUACUGCUGAUACUAAUCACUAUCCUUCCGAGAGAGAUUCUGUGAGCAAAUCAGUUGACGUUUCCACUGAAAAGAAGAAGUCCAAGAGCAAGAAUCGUGGCAGCUAUUCUGAUGGAGGAGAUCUUGUGGAAAGAUCCAAGAAGCAUUCAAAAGGAAAAGGCAAGAGGGAGAUGGAUUAUGGUGAAUACAAAGCUUCUAAGAAAAUUAAAAAGGAGGAGCGGCAUCGUUCUAGCAGAGACCGGAACCCUGAAUGUGAUUUAGCUAGUGGAGACGUUCCUGAUGAGGCCAAGGCUUUUCUUGCAAAGGCAAAGAGUUUGGGUGAGAAGGGUGAUAUUUCUUCAUUGAAGCAAAAAAGUGUUGCGAGGUCUGAUCGUUUGGAGAAGUCCAAGAGAGACAAGGAUGAGGAUAUAGCUCUUCCUGAAGAUAGGGACAAGGAACAAUACCAAACCUCAGAUGUACAGAGAUCAGACGUUUCUAGCAAGAAGAGGAUAGUGAAGGAAUGGGAGGAGAGUCAGCAUAGUUCAAUAGCUCAGGUGAGCAGAGGAACCACAGUGAAUCACAGCUCUGCUGCCAAGGAAACUCAUAAGGAUCAAAACUUAAAGGAAACAAAGUCCAAGCCAAUAAAGUCUGAAGAACUGUAUUCCACGACGGAUUCUAAAUUAGGAAAAGGUCUGCACUCUAAUCAGAUUUCUUCUUAUUAUGGUGGUCAUGUAAACAAUGAACUUGUGGAGGAUAGCACACACUUUGCUGGUAAAAGAGGUCCAUCCGAAGUAUUAGAUAAGCGAUCUUCUGAACAUGCUUUGGACUUAGCUGGAGCUGCUUCUAGUGAUGUUCCGACCACAGCCAUAGCUUCAAGUUCUUCAAAAGCUUCAGGCUCUCAGAAAAAGAAAAAUAACUCCCAAGUUGCAAAGACUUCACCGAUUGAAUCAGUUUCCUCAUCACCACCGAGGAACUCUAACAUUGAUAAGUUCUCCCAGAACAGAAUAGUGGAGAAAGAUGGGCCUAUGAAUGCUAACCCAGGCACCAUGCCGAGCUCAGUAAAGUAUCUCAAUACUGAAGUUGAUAUAGUAGACAAUGUUCGGCAGGCUAAGAAGUCCAAGGAGAGUUUGCUUGCAAGUGAACCUGUCUUACAUGGCUCUUCACAAGGAAAUUCUGACAAAGAUGAUGAAUUAGUUCAGUUAACUCAAGGCCAUGCAUCCGAAAGGUUUUCAUUGAGAAAGGGUUUGGAUGAUGAUCAGCAGCAUGCAUCUGGGAGAAAGGACUCCACUGUGAAUGGCUCCAGCACAGCGAGGGGUUAUAACCACCUGCAUUCUGGUGAUAAAAAUAACUUGCGCACUGAUGGCUCUUUAGUGCAACCUAGGACUGCAGCUUCGGGCUUGAAAGGAGAUUUGAUUGCGAGUGAAAGUAAGAAAACUGCAGCUCCUAUCCAAGAUAGAAAUGGAUUAACUCAUUGUGCUCUGGAUGGAAAUCCUAAACCAGAGGUGCCAUCUGGAAAAGAUAAAUCUUAUCCCAAGAGUAACAAGCAAGAUAUGGAGAAGCCCAAAGCCCAAAUUGCCCCUUCGCCUCUGAAAGAAACCCACUCCACUCCAGUAAAAUCUAAUGCGUCAAAAUUGACACCACAGUCAAGGCGAAGCAGUGAUGAAAAUGGAGGGCAACAGCGUGUUGCCAAACAGGGAACUUCAAAUCCUACGGAAGGGAAAGAUAGUAAUUCAACUGCAUAUGCUCUCAAAGAAGCUCGAGAUUUAAAGCACAAGGCGAACCGUUUGAAGAAAGAAGGAAAAGAACUUGAAAGCACAAGGCUCUAUUUUGAGGCAGCCUUAAAAUUUCUGCAUGUAGCAUCACUUCUGGAACCUCCUGGUAUUGAUGGUCUGAAACAAGGUGAUGCAGCUCAGAGCAUGUAUUCUGAUACUGCAAAACUCUGCAACUUUGUUGGUCAUGAAUAUGAAAGGUGCAAGAAGAUGGCCGCUGCUGCUUUAGCAUAUAAAUGUGUUGAAGUAGCUUAUCUCAAGGCUGCAUACUACAAAUACCCUAUUGCAAGUAAGGACCGGCAGGUGUUGCAGGCAGUUGUACAGACUACACCAGGCGAAUCACCAUCAUCUUCAGCAUCAGACAUCGAUAACUUAAAUAACAAUGGAUUAUCUAAGAUGGCCCCUUCAAACAAGGAUGCUAAUUCACCCCAAGUUGCUGGGAACCAUUUAUUACUGGCCGUUCGCAAUCAACCACACCUGACAAGGUUACUAGCUUAUACAAAUGAUGUCAAUUCUGCCUUUGAGGCAACUCGGAAAUCACAGAUGGCAAUUGCUUCUGCUGCUGGCAACCAUGAAAAGGGAGUGGAUGGUCUUUCUUCAGUAAAAACAGUUCUGGAUUUCAACUUCAGAAGCGUGAAUGAUCUACUCAGACUUGUGCGGAUUUCAAUGGAGUCUAUCAGCUGCUGA
rnacentral:rRNA from 1 species